AGGGAAUCUUCCGCAAUGGGCGCAAGCCUGACGGAGCAACGCCGCGUGAGCGAGGACGGCCUUCGGGUUGUAAAGCUCUGUUCUUCGGGAAGAAGGGCGGGAGGGCGAACAACUCUUCCGCUUGACGGUACCGAAGGAGAAAGCCCCGGCUAACUACGUGCCAGCAGCCGCGGUAAUACGUAGGGGGCGAGCGUUGUCCGGAAUUAUUGGGCGUAAAGCGCGCGUAGGCGGCUGGUUAAGUCCUGUGUGAAAGACCACGGCUCAACCGUGGGGGUGCACGGGAAACUGGCCGGCUUGAGUGCAGGAGAGGGGAGCGGAAUUCCCGGUGUAGCGGUGGAAUGCGUAGAGAUCGGGAGGAACACCAGUGGCGAAGGCGGCUCCCUGGCCUGUAACUGACGCUGAGGCGCGAAAGCGUGGGGAGCGAAC
rnacentral:rRNA from 1 species